UUUCCGUAGGUGAACCUGCGGAAGGAUCAUUAUCGUACAAAAUGUGAUGGGCAUGCUAGGGCUGUCGCUGACCCUAAGGUCGUGCACGCCCGAGUGUGUCCUCUUGCAUAAUAAUCCAUCCCACCCUUUGUGCAUCACCGCGUGGGCACCCUUCGGGAUCAUCUCGGAGGGGGGUUUGCGUUUUCACACAUACCCCCCUUUUAAAAGUGUAGAAUGACCACAUUUAUGCAAUCAAUACAACUUUCAACAACGGAUCUCUUGGCUCUCACAUCGAUGAAGAACGCAGC
rnacentral:misc_RNA from 1 species